rnacentral:rRNA from 1 species
GAUGAACGCUGGCGGCGUGCCUAAUACAUGCAAGUCGAGCGAACAGACGAGGAGCUUGCUCCUCUGACGUUAGCGGCGGACGGGUGAGUAACACGUGGAUAACCUACCUAUAAGACUGGGAUAACUUCGGGAAACCGGAGCUAAUACCGGAUAAUAUAUUGAACCGCAUGGUUCAAUAGUGAAAGACGGUUUUGCUGUCACUUAUAGAUGGAUCCGCGCCGCAUUAGCUAGUUGGUAAGGUAACGGCUUACCAAGGCAACGAUGCGUAGCCGACCUGAGAGGGUGAUCGGCCACACUGGAACUGAGACACGGUCCAGACUCCUACGGGAGGCAGCAGUAGGGAAGCUUCCGCAAUGGGCGGAAGCUUGACGGAGCAACGCCGCGUGAGUGAUGAAGGUCUUCGGAUCGUAAAACUCUGUUAUUAGGGAAGAACAAAUGUGUAAGUAACUAUGCACGUCUUGACGGUACCUAAUCAGAAAGCCACGGCUAACUACGUG